rnacentral:rRNA from 1 species
UGCAAGUCGAACGAGAACGGGUUAUAGCUUGCUAUAAUUGUCAGCUAAGUGGCGCACGGGUGAGUAAUGUAUAGGUAAUAUGCCUCUUACUAAGGGAUAACAAAUGGAAACGUCUGCUAAUACCUUAUACUCCUUAUUAACAUAAGUUAAUAAGGGAAAGAUUUAUUGGUAAGAGAUUAGCCUGUAUUGUAUCAGUUAGUUGGUGGGGUAAUGGCUUACCAAGACUAUGACACAUAACUGGUUUGAGAGGAUGAUCAGUCACACUGGAACUGAGACACGGUCCAGACUCCUACGGGAGGCAGCAGUGGGGAAUAUUGCACAAUGGACGAAAGUCUGAUGCAGCAACGCCGCGUGGAGGAUGACACAUUUCGGUGCGUAAACUCCUUUUAUAUGAGAAGAUAAUGACGGUAUUAUAUGAAUAAGCACCGGCUAACUCCGUGCCAGCAGCCGCGGUAAUACGGGGGGUGCAAGCGUUACUCGGAAUCACUGGGCGUAAAGAGCAUGUAGGCGGAUUAAUAAGUUUGAAGUGAAAUCCUAUAGCUUAACUAUAGAACUGCUUUGAAAACUGUUAAUCUAGAAUGUGGGAGAGGUAGAUGGAAUUUCUGGUGUAGGGGUAAAAUCCGUAGAGAUCAGAAGGAAUACCGAUUGCGAAGGCGAUCUACUGGAACAUUAUUGACGCUGAGAUGCGAAAGCGUGGGGA